CCUACGGGCGGCAGCAGUGGGGAAUAUUGGGCAAUGGGCGCAAGUCUGACCCAGCAACGCCGCGUGAAGGAAGAAGGCCCUCGGAGUGUAAACUUCUUUUAUCAAGGACGAAACCAAUGACGGUACUUUAUGAAUAAGCCACUGCUAAAUACGUGCCAGCACCCACGGUAAUACGUAGGUGGCAAGCGUUAUCCGGAUUUACUGGGUGUAAAGGGCGCGUAGGCGGGACUGCAAGUCAGAUGUGAAAACCAUGGGCUCAACCUAUGGCCUGCAUUUGAAACUGUAUUGCUUGAGUGUUGGAGAGGUAGGCGGAAUUCAGUGUGUAGCGGUGAAAUGCGUAGAUAUA
rnacentral:rRNA from 1 species